rnacentral:rRNA from 1 species
AACGAACGCUGGCGGCGUGGCUAAGACAUGCAAGUCAAACGGACCGUUAAUUUAUUAAUGGUUAGUGGCGAAAGGGUUAGUAAUGGACAGGUAACGUACCCUGUGCUUCGGGAUAGCGUCUGUUCGCCUUCGGGCGAGCUUCCGAAAGGGGCGGUAAUACCGGAAAUACCAUGAACCAUACGGUUCAUGGUCAAAGAUUUAUCGGCAUAGGAGCGGCCUAUCUCCUAUCAGCUUGUUGGUGAGGUAAUGGCUCACCAAGGCUAUGACGGGUAGCGGGACUGAGAGGUUGGCCCGCAACAUCGGGACUGAGACACUGCCCGGACCUCCACGGAGGGCUGCAGUAACGAAUAUUGGGCAAUGGGCAAAAGCCUGACCAGCGACGCCGCGUGCGGGAGGAAGUCCCUCGGGAUGUAAACCGCUGUCAGGGGGAAGAGAGUUCACUUCGGUGGAUUGAUCUAACCCAAAGGAAGUCACGGCUAACUUCGUGCCAGCAGCCGCGGUAAGACGAAGGUGGCUAGCGUUGUUCGGUAUCACUGGGCUUAAAGGGUGUGUAGGCGGGAAAGUUAGCAUUUUGUGAAAGCCCUCGGCUUAACCGGGGAAUUGCGAAAUGUACUGCUUUUCUUGAGGCAAGUAGGGGUGCAUGGAACUCUUGGUGGAGCGGUGGAAUGCGUAGAUAUCAAGAGGAACGCCAGCGGUGAAAACGGUGCACUGGGCUUGUCCUGACGCUGAGACACGAAAGCGUGGGGAGCGAACGGGAUUAGAUACCCCGGUAGUCCACGCUGUAAACGAUGCCUACUAGGUUGUGGAAGUUCUGACGCUUGCACGGCCGAAGCAAAAGUGCUAAGUAGGCCGCCUGGGGAGACGGUCGCAAGGCU